rnacentral:rRNA from 1 species
UACGUAGGGGGGCUAGCGUUGUCCGGAAUCAUUGGGCGUAAAGCGCGCGUAGGCGGCCCGGUAAGUCCGUUGUGAAAGUCAAAGGCUCAACCUUUGAAUGCCGACGGAUACUGCCGGGCUAGAGUACGGAAGAGGCGAGUGGAAUUCCUGGUGUAGCGGUGGAAUGCGCAGAUAUCAGGAGGAACACCUAUAGCGAAGGCAGCUCGCUGGGACGUUACUGACGCUGAGGCGCGAAAGCGUGGGGAGCGAACAGG